GAGCCACCCCCCUGGGGUUGAAAGAUGUAUGAAGCUCCUUUCUGAAGAAGUUUGAGUAGACAGACAAUGUUUGAUCAAUUUAAACCUUUCACCUUUCAGAAUUAGAAUUUUCUUCUAGAAAAAU